rnacentral:rRNA from 1 species
GAUGAACGCUGGCGGCGUGCCUAAUACAUGCAAGUCGAGCGAACGGACGAGAAGCUUGCUUCUCUGAUGUUAGCGGCGGACGGGUGAGUAACACGUGGAUAACCUACCUAUAAGACUGGGAUAACUUCGGGAAACCGGAGCUAAUACCGGAUAAUAUUUUGAACCGCAUGGUUCAAAAGUGAAAGACGGUCUUGCUGUCACUUAUAGAUGGAUCCGCGCUGCAUUAGCUAGUUGGUAAGGUAACGGCUUACCAAGGCAACGAUGCAUAGCCGACCUGAGAGGGUGAUCGGCCACACUGGAACUGAGACACGGUCCAGACUCCUACGGGAGGCAGCAGUAGGGAAUCUUCUGCAAUGGGCGAAAGCCUGACGGAGCAACGCCGCGUGAGUGAUGAAGGUCUUCGGAUCGUAAAACUCUGUUAUCAGGGAAGAACAUAUGUGUAAGUAACUGUGCACAUCUUGACGGUACCUAAUCAGAAAGCCACGGCUAACUACGUG